GAGGAAGUUUUCAGGCUAGUUAAUAUUUAACACGAAUUGCUGCAAAGACAACAGUGCUCUCCUUCCCUAAAACGAACGGGACUUGGACGGGGCGAAAUCAGGAGAGUUUGGCGGCCAAUGAACGCCGGCUCUCGGAGUGUUUUCCCCGUAAUCCUGCACGCCUCGACCACCCACCUCCCCGCAGGCCGCGAGAGGCACAGGGGAACACCACAGGAGCGUGAGCAAAGCUGUCUUCGCCUUCUCAGCCUCCUCGCAGGCUCUGCAAAGAGUCAAAAAAGCUUUCAGCUUGCCUCCUCCCCCCGGCCCAGGAGGGAAAGGG